rnacentral:rRNA from 1 species
AAUCAACGCUGGCGGCGUGCCUAACACAUGCAAGUCGCACGAGAAAGGGUCUUCGGAUCUGAGUAAAGUGGCGCACGGGUGAGUAACACGUGAAUUAUCUACCUUCGAGUGGGGAAUAACUUCGGGAAACCGAGGCUAAUACCGCAUAAUAUCUACGGAUCAAAGCAGUAAUGCGCUUGAAGAGGAGUUCGCGGCAGAUUAGUUAGUUGGCGGGGUAAUGGCCCACCAAGACGAUGAUCUGUAUCCGGCCUGAGAGGGCGCACGGACACACUGGAACUGAAACACGGUCCAGACUCCUACGGGAGGCAGCAGUGGGGAAUUUUGCGCAAUGGGGGAAACCCUGACGCAGCAACGCCGCGUGGAGGAUGAAGUCUCUUGGGACGUAAACUCCUUUCGAUAGGGAAGAUUAUGACGGUACCUAUAGGAGAAGCCCCGGCUAACUUCGUACCAGCCGCCGCAGUAA